UUGUAAUGGGUGUUGUGUAGUC
rnacentral:siRNA from 1 species